rnacentral:rRNA from 1 species
UAUUGGUCAAUGGGCGAGAGCCUGAACCAGCCAAGUAGCGUGAAGGAUGAUUGCCCUAUGGGUUGUAAACUUCUUUUAUAUGGGAAUAAAGUCUGCCACGUGUGGCAUUUUGUAUGUACCAUAUGAAUUAGGAUCGGCUAACUCCGUGGCAGAAGCCGCGGUAAUACGGAGGAUCCGAGCGUUAUCCGUAUUUAUUGGGUUUAAAGGGAGCGUAGGUGGACAUGUAAGUCAGUUGUGAAAGUUUGCGGCUCAACCGUAAAAUUGCAGUUGAAGCUGCGUGUCUUGAGUACAGUAGAGGUGGGCGGAAUUCGUGGUGUAGCGGUGAAAUGCUUAGAUAUCACGAAGAACUCCGAUUGCGAAGGCAGCUCACUGGACUGCAACUGACACUGAUGCUCGAAAGUGUGGGUAUCAAACAGG